rnacentral:sRNA from 1 species
UCUUUUACUGUCAUGUGUCUCUGGCUAGGUAAAUAAUUAUGACUAUGCAAUAGUUAAUUUUUAUUGGUGAAUGUAUUAUGCUGACUGAAUGAUUUGGGAAAUGAAUUCCAAUUAAAAGAUUGUGUGGAUUGAAAAGUCACAAAUAUUAAAUGAAAAGUCAUUUUAAUUCUAUGUUGAUGAGUAAAUGAGAGGAAUGAGUUGAUCAGUUGUAGAUUUACCGCAAACAUUCAUCUUAUUUUACCCUCCAUUUUUGUGCUGUUGACUGUCUCGUGGCUUACCACACAGUAAACUCUGAAUUCAUAUGAAAGUUACUUUGAUUUUAAUUAAGUUCAACAAACUUGUAUAGUAUCAAAGCAUAUCCACUAGAUUAGAAUGACAUUGUAUGAUGAAGUUGUAUCAUUAGAUAGGUUUAUUUUUACAUUUUGUGUUAUUUUUUAUAGAAGCCAGUCAGAUGACCUUUAGACUUUGUUAACUGUUAGAGCUUUAUAUAAUGUCUAAGAUAGUUUUAUGAAAACUUUUAUUAAUAGAUUAUGAUAGAUUAUCUUGAAUGCAUUUAUGUGUACUGAUCAUGUUUUGAGUUGUGAAAAGCAAGAAUGUGUUUGAAUGUCUUGAGUUUUGAGAGAUUUUUUUUUCAUAUUUAAGUUAUCAAUUAAUGUUAACUAUUGAUUUACAGAUGUUCCAAUUUCUGAAAAAGACAUUAAAAUGUGCAAAAGUC